ensembl:lncRNA MIR4435-2HG MIR4435-2 host gene
CACCCCAGCCUGGAAGCUGCCUCCCUCCGCCUAUGCCUGCAGGAUAAGAAGCCCGAGGAGGCGGAGCAUGGAACUCGACAGUUAAAACAUUUAAGAGAGAAAACCUAGUGUCUUGCUGGCCUGAAAUCGAGUACGCAGCCCGGGGUGAUCAGGGUCUCCCGGCCCGGAUGUGUGAGACUUGCUUCCCCUGGGCAAUAGGCGAUACGAUGCUUUAGGAGGAAGGUGUCUCUCCCUCCUAAGCCCCGGAGGGGAGAACUUCCAAAGACAGAAAACCACAGGCUUCCUGGCACAGAGCUUUCCCUUUAUCAGCUAAAGCAGAAUCUUUUCUGGCCUUAACCUGGCCCCUUCCUCUAACUGCAGGCAGAGAGGCAGACAGAAAAGCACUUGCUGAAACACAAAGUUUUGUUCUGUCCUCAACGAACUGUCUAGAGCUGAUUGCUGAUAGUCGUGGUGCAUUAUGCCUUCCUGGUUUUCAUUUAAUUGGGCACCACGCUGCCUUUCAAGACGCCUUAAAGGAACCAACAACCAAAUCCAAGAGAGCUGGACAGACCAUUGAACACACAGUAGGCUGUGUCUCGUGGCUUUCGUUGUCUGGUGCCUCAAAGAAAACACCAGAAAGAUUGUUUCUAAGCUAGAGCCACCCCAGAUUGCUUAAAGUGCAAAGCUCACUGCUGUUGGGGGUACCCUUGUGAGACACUGGAAAGCUGGUUUUACCGUGGCCCUAUGAAGAGGAAGACUGAAAUUUAGACAGUAAUACCUUUACUAGGAUUGGAAAAGAUUUGGUUAAUGACAGCCCUGUCAUUUCUAAAACCCAUUAUCACUGUAUGAGAGAUUCCUUUGCGCUGCAUCCUCGACAGUGCUUCCUAAGGCUCUGCCGACUUCCAGUUCUGGAACAAGAUGGUUAAACUCAUUUUUCCCUGCUCUGCUCCUCUAAAUACAACUAAGUACCUUGGAAACUAUUCAGCAGACAAUGAUAAAGGGCUCUGAAAGCUAGAAGAAAAGGUGUACUUGCAAGAAACCUCAGGACUUGAGUAACAGCAACAUGUCUUGGACGAGCCUGAGGAUGUCUACAAGUGGAAGAAAAGAAGCCACUGGAGCAGAAGGUGGGGAGGAUAAAAUUUGGAGCAAGAUUCUCAAGGAAGCAACAAGAUCCUAAGAUGCAUGUGAGGAGCAAGUUCAAGUCAGACUCAAUGUCAUUUCACCAUGAUUGGGGCAGAGUGGCACCGGGCCUGGUGGGAUCAGAAGGCAGGACACGGCGGACAGCUGGAUUGCCCCUUUCUAAAUCCAGCUUUCUUCAUCCAGGAAGCCUUCUCUGACCCUCCCACCCAUAGGGCCCUCUCCUACCCUGAACUCCUCCAGAAUUCUGUCUGCUGAAAGAAGGCAUGUGGAGUGUGAGAAGACAGCAGGGCUCUGAAGUCAGACCGAUGUGGUUUAAAUAUUGGUUUCUUGUGUUCAAUCAUCUGACCAUUAAUUCAACAUCUGUAGCAUGCCAGGCACUGUUCUACAUCCUGGAAAUGUGUUCAUGUUCAAGAGCUGGGUGUUCUUGGAUCCUGUAUGCAAAUGAGGGAGAGAGAGACAGUCAAUAACAACAAUAACAAAGCCAAACAUG